GUUGAACGCUGGCGGCGUGCCUAAUACAUGCAAGUCGAGCGAACAGACGAGGAGCUUGCUCCUCUGACGUUAGCGGCGGACGGGUGAGUAACACGUGGAUAACCUACCUAUAAGACUGGGAUAACUUCGGGAAACCGGAGCUAAUACCGGAUAAUAUAUUGAACCGCAUGGUUCAAUAGUGAAAGACGGUUUUGCUGUCACUUAUAGAUGGAUCCGCGCCGCAUUAGCUAGUUGGUAAGGUAACGGCUUACCAAGGCAACGAUGCGUAGCCGACCUGAGAGGGUGAUCGGCCACACUGGAACUGAGACACGGUCCAGACUCCUACGGGAGGCAGCAGUAGGGAAUCUUCCGCAAUGGGCGAAAGCUUGACGGAGCAACGCCGCGUGAGUGAUGAAGGUCUUCGGAUCGUAAAACUCUGUUAUUAGGGAAGAACAAAUGUGUAAGUAACUAUGCACGUCUUGACGGUACCUAAGCAGAAAGCCACGGCUAACUACGU
rnacentral:rRNA from 1 species